UAUUUGGAAUCUGGGCCUAAAAGUUUUUUCGGUUGUCUUCUUCAUUCAGAGUUAUGGACCUGAAGAUUGGAAGUGACCUGGCAAGGGAGAAGAAGGACAAGCAAGAGUGAAAGAGUAGCAAACCCUGAAGUGGUUCCAAGGGUUUACCUCGUGACCACAGAGACCCAUCUCUGCCAGAGAGGAACAAGCAUGCAGAGAAGAAUUCAAUAGCCUGGGUUGUUCCUGGGAUUGGUGAGCUUUAAAAUCUCCUGUGAUGUCAAGAAGAGGAAAGCCUUCACAUCCCAGGUUUGGCCAUCACAUCCCCGAAUUCAGCUGCAUUGGCUGAAUGUUAAAUGGUUUAUGCCCAGCUAGUGGGAAGGUGAAUAAUACGUAAAGGAGCUGGGAUCUACACAUACGUUGGAUGACACAGACAUUGUACUUCAGAGUCUCGAAGCAUUUUGGAGCAUCUGGGCUCACUCCUGGCAUCUCGGAUCUAUUGCCCUGCAGUCCCCUCCGGGCACUGGAGCAGCGUCACGGUACAGACAAGUAGAGC
rnacentral:lncRNA from 1 species